rnacentral:other from 1 species
GAGAACCUGGAAUGUUCGAAGCUUCCGGUAUUUUGAACCUACAGUACUUUAAACGGGAUUCCUAUAUCUCUGUAAUAUGUCAGGCCUCCGAUGAUUUGUAGUGGAAGACAAAAAAGCAGAUGCGGUCACCCACCUAGCAAUAGCUAGGAGUCAAAAUACGGAAAACGGCAUUUUGGGGGUUAA